rnacentral:rRNA from 1 species
ACAGCAGUCGCCGCGGUAAAACGUAGGGUGCAAGCGUUAAUCGGAAUUACUGGGCGUAAAGCGUGCGCAGGCGGUUAUAUAAGACAGAUGUGAAAUCCCCGGGCUCAACCUGGGAACUGCAUUUGUGACUGUAUAGCUAGAGUACGGCAGAGGGGGAUGGAAUUCCGCGUGUAGCAGUGAAAUGCGUAGAUAUGCGGAGGAACACCGAUGGCGAAGGCAAUCCCCUGGGCCUGUACUGACGCUCAUGCACGAAAGCGUGGGGAGCAAACAGGAUUAGAUACCCGUGUAGUCCCUGUCUCUUAUAC